UGCAAGUCGAGCGAGAAAGUCCCUUCGGGGGCGAGUAAAGCGGCGGACGGGUGAGUAACGCGUGGAAAUCUACCUUUCAGUGAAGAAUACCCUCGAGAAAUUGAGGUUAAUACUGCAUACGUCCCUUCGGGGAGAAAGAUGGCCUCUUUGCUGUCGCUGAAAGAUGAGUUUGCGUACUAUUAGCUUGUUGGUGGGGUAAAGGCCUACCAAGGCGAUGAUGGUUAGCCGGCCUGAGAGGGUGAUCGGCCACACUGGAACUUAGACACGGUCCAGACUCCUACGGGAGGCAGCAGUGAGGAAUAUUGCGCAAUGGGCGAAAGCCUGACGCAGCGACGCCGCGUGGAGGAUGAAGGUUUUAGGAUCGUAAACUCCUGUUAAGUGGGAAGAAAUAUCUAUCUUUAAUACAGAUAGAGGAUGACGGUACCAUUAGAGAAAGCACCGGCUAACUUCGUGCCAGCAGCCGCGGUAAUACGAGGGGUGCGAGCGUUAUUCGGAAUUAUUGGGCGUAAAGGGUGCGUAGACGGCAUAUCAAGUCAACUGUUAAAUUUCUCGGCCUAACCGAGAGUCAGCGGUAGAUACUGAUAAGCUAGAGGACGGAAGAGAGAAGUGGAAUUCUCGGAGUAGCGGUAAAAUGCGUGGAUCUCGAGA
rnacentral:rRNA from 1 species